rnacentral:tRNA from 1 species
GGAAGCGUAGCAAAGUUGGUCUAUGCGAUGGACUGAAAAUCCAAAGAUGAUGGUUCGAUCCCAUCCGCUUCCA